rnacentral:tRNA from 1 species
AGAAAGAUAAAGCUAAAAUUAAGCUAUUGGGCCCAUACCCCAAAAAUGAAUGUUUAAAACCCCUUCUCUUACUA